GAGGGUGAUGCCUGCCCAAUGGUUGUAUCUAAAAGCGGUUGAUAAAAGUCGACCUCGUAAGGACAAUUGAAUGGCCGCGGUAACACUGACCGUGAUAAUGUAGCGUAAUCAAUAGCCAAUUAAUUGUUGGCCAGUAUGAAUGGCGCCACGAAGGCCCCACUGUCUUAAGGAAAUUCCCAGUGAAAUUGAAUUCGUAGUGAAGAUGCUACGUCCAAUUUGUUAGACGAAAAGACCCCGUUGAGCUUUACUGGGGCACUUACACGGCCCCGGCCUUCCCGUGUCCGGGAACCGGCCGAAUUUAAAUGGGUGGUUUAGACUAUGUGGCAGCCCCCCGCCGGGGCAGAUGAAACCCCACUCCCCCAUGUCAAAGGGGCUAACCCCCCCCUUGGGGGGGACAGUGUAAGUAGGACAGUUUGGUUGGGGCGACCGCCUUUUAAAGAGUAACGAAGGUGCGCUUAAGGUGCGCAAUUAAUGACUGAAGCCUGACUGCGAGGGGGACACCCCGAG
rnacentral:rRNA from 5 species